rnacentral:rRNA from 1 species
AUUGAACGCUGGCGGCAGGCCUAACACAUGCAAGUCGAGCGAGCGGCGGACGGGUGAGUAAUGUCUGGGAAACUGCCUGAUGGAGGGGGAUAACUACUGGAAACGGUAGCUAAUACCGCAUACCAUCAGAUGUGCCCAGAUGGGAUUAGCUGGGGGGUGGGGUAACGGCUCACCUAGGCGACGAUCCCUAGCUGGUUGGGGAGUAUGUUCAGCCACACUGGAACUGAGAUGCGGUACAGUCUCAUACGGGAGGCAGCAGUGGGGAAUAUUGGAAAUUGGGCGAAAUCCUGCUCCAGGCAUGCCGCGUGUGUGAAGAAGGUCAUCGGAUUGUAAAGCACUUUAAGUUGGGAUGCGUUACCAACAGAAUAAGCACCGGCGAACGCCGUGCCAGCAGCCGCGGUAAUUC